CGCAGCGACUCUGCGGAUUCCCGUGCGCUCCGGGCACAGAUCUUGGAAGCUGCAAAAGUCACCAGAAAGAAGCCGGAAAGCAAACAAAAGUCGCCCCCCUAAACAAGAGGAAGGUCCUCUCGGGGCUCUCCCGGAGUCCCCCGGGACAGCGACGCGCCGGCGGCGGCUAAAGAGCCGGGCGGAGCUUGUUUAUCCGUUCUGCUGAAGAUGGACAUUAAAGCUGUCUCCAGUUUGGAGCUACUGUGAAGGAAACUGCUGUGACAUUAUUGUGCACAUCUUUCUAUGAACACAUGUUUUCAUUUCUCUUGAGUAAAAGACUAAAGUGGAGUUGAUGGGUCUUGGAGCAGGUGUACUUUCAACUUUACGAAAAACUACCAGAACAGUUUCUAAACUGGUUUUACCAUCCUACACUGCUUCUAGCAAUUUGUGAAAGUUUUGACUGCUCCAUAUGCUCAACAACAUUUGGUCCUGUUGACCUUUUCACCUUUGCCAUUUUAAUGAAUUUAUGGUAUGUACCUCUGUGAUUUUAUUAUACUUUGCAUUUCCCAGGUAACUAAGAAUUGAUGUUAAGCACUUUUCUGUGCAUUUAUUAACCAUUUUUAUUUGUUCCUCCAUGAAACCCCCAUUCAAGUUUUUUUGCAGAUUUUUUAUUGGUUCUUUUUAUUAUUGAGUAUAAAAAUUGUUUAUAUAUUCUGAAU
ensembl:lncRNA